rnacentral:rRNA from 1 species
UACGUAGGGGGCAAGCGUUUGUCCGGAAUCAUUGGGCGUAAAGCGCGUGUAGGCGGUCCGGUAAGUCGGCUGUGAAAGUCCAGGGCUCAACCCUGGGAUGCCGGUCGAUACUGCCGGACUAGAGUUCGGAAGAGGCGAGUGGAAUUCCCGGUGUAGCGGUGAAAUGCGUUGAUAUCAUUAGGAACACCGGUGGCGAAAGCGGCUCACUGGGACUCUUCUGACGCUGAGGCACGAAAGCUAGGGGAGCGAACGGG